GCACCUGUGGCGCAGUGGGUAACAUGGAUGGCUGCCAAUCAGACGACCAGGGUUCGACCCCCCGCUUGGUCG